ACCAGGCAGAGCGCGUGUGGCCGCCGAGCACAUGGACCCACUGGUCAAGCGGGCUCGGCAAGGCCAGGAUGAAGAGAAGCUACGAACUUAGCAUUCCCAGAGCCCCCCGAGUGGAUAUCCGCGUGGAAAGGAUGUUGGCAGCCCCGGUGACCUCGGAGUCACGGCUGGAUCCACCCUCUUGUCUGAUUUUCUUAACUCUACUACGGUAAGAAGAUGCCCUCCAUCAGCAGGCCGUGUCUGCUGGGACCUCUCUGGAGACUUCCUGAACCCUGUGGAUUUACAGUAAGAUGCAGUUUCCUGGGGAGUAAUUCUGGUGGAUACAAAUUCCGGAGUAUUACACCUGGCUUGCCUGGAGAUGUUACAAGUAGCUGGAUGGAUUCUUCAGCCUGGAUGCCCACUGAAAACAAGGACCGAAACUAAGAGGAUUGUAUCUCUACCCUUGACUCAAUGAGAAUGUUUGUUGUCAUCUCUCGGGCUACCUGGAGCUCCCUCUAAAAUUAUACCCUUUAAGCGUUCCAGAAGGAUUUUGAGAUCCUUUCCUAAAUCAAAGGUGGAAUAUUUGGGGAUUUGGAAAAUUGAGAAGCCAGUCUCUCAGAAGAACCAGUUGUGUUACUUUGCUGUGAGAUGCCUGCCCUAAGAGAGGAGCAGAAGGUCGGAACGGGUCCUCUAAUGUGAUAAUUAGAUGUGAAGCGUUGACUUAAGAGAUGCCAAGUAACUCAGCAGAUGUCACACAGACGAUAAAUAGCAAAGAUGGAAGUCUUCAUGCCGGAGGCAAUCCUAUAAGACAGCUGAGUUCUGCAGAGCUGGUAGGAGACAGACUUGCUCAGGUGAUAGAUCCAGCCAUGAUACUGACCCUAAGAGAAUGAGACGCUCUGCAGAAGACAGAAGAUUCCUGAAACUGGGAAAGGUGCCUAGAAAUCCUGAUAAGAGUGAAGAAGGGUACCUGGAGGCACAGCAGCCAUGUUGAACCUAUGAGGUGAUGAAAAACCAUGCAACUAGAAACCAGAAUGGAAGAAAAGAAGAAGCUGGAUCCUUGACUGAAUUGUCGAUGGGGGAUAGUCCAUCAUCCCAGGGCUAAGACCACCUCCAGAUUUCUUGUUUGGUGAAACAAGUCCUGAUUGUUUACAUUCCCUCGUGUUGAGCUGUCUCUUGCUUGUAGCUGAAAGCAUUUCUAAUAGAUAUUCAGAUUAUCAGCCUUAGCUCCAAGCUAGAAUACUCUAUGGGACCUUAGCUUCUCCAUGAAUUCCUUUGCUCAUCUGUGUAAUGCUCAAUAAAUGUAAAUUGAACCCUGAAUGAGGGACAAUGACACUA
rnacentral:lncRNA from 1 species